CACGUAGGGUGCGAGCGUUGUCCGGAAUUAUUGGGCGUAAAGAGCUCGUAGGCGGUGUGUCGCGUCGGCCGUGAAAACCUGCAGCUUAACUGUGGGCUUGCGGUCGAUACGGGCAUCACUGGAGUUCGGCAGGGGAGACUGGAAUUCCUGGUGUAGCGGUGAAAUGCGCAGAUAUCGGGAAGAACACCCGUGGCGAAGGCGGCUCUCUGGGACGGUACUGACGCUGAGGAGCGAAAGCGUGGGGAGCGAACAGG
rnacentral:rRNA from 1 species